rnacentral:rRNA from 1 species
GAUGAACGCUGGCGGCGUGCCUAAUACAUGCAAGUCGAGCGAACGGACGAGAAGCUUGCUUCUCUGAUGUUAGCGGCGGACGGGUGAGUAACACGUGGAUAACCUACCUAUAAGACUGGGAUAACUUCGGGAAACCGUAGCUAAUACCGGAUAAUAUUUUGAACCGCAUGGUUCAAAAGUGAAAGACGGUCUUGCUGUAACUUAUAGAUGGAUCCGCGCUGCAUUAGCUAGUUGGUAAGGUAACGGCUUACCAAGGCAACGAUGCAUAGCCGACCUGUGAGGGUGAUCGGCCACACGGGAACUGAGACACGGUCCAGACUCCUACGGGAGGCAGCAGUAGGGAAUCUUCCGCAAUGGGCGAAAGCGUGACGGGGCAACGCCGCGUGAGUGAUGAAGGUCUUCGGAUCGUAAAACUCUGUUAUUAGGGAAGAACAUAUGUGUAAGUAACUGUGAACAUCUUGACGGUACCUAAUCGGAAAGCCACGGCUAACUACGUG